ACUCCUACGGGAGGCAGCAGUGGGGAAUAUUGCACAAUGGGCGAAAGCCUGAUGCAGCGACGCCGCGUGGGGGAUGACGGCCUUCGGGUUGUAAACCCCUUUCAGUAGGGAAGAAGCGAGAGUGACGGUACCUGCAGAAGAAGCGCCGGCUAACUACGUGCCAGCAG
rnacentral:rRNA from 1 species